AGUGAACGCUGGCGGUAGGCCUAACACAUGCAAGUCGAACGGCAGCACAGUAAGAGCUUGCUCUUACGGGUGGCGAGUGGCGGACGGGUGAGGAAUACAUCGGAAUCUACUUUUUCGGGGGGGAUAACGUAGGGAAACUUACGCUAAUACCGCAUACGACCUACGGGUGAAAGCAGGGGAUCGUCGGACCUUGCGCGAUUGAAUGAGCCGAUGUCGGAUUAGCUAGUUGGCGGGGUAAAGGCCCACCAAGGCGACGAUCCGUAGCUGGUCUGAGAGGAUGAUCAGCCACACUGGAACUGAGACACGGUCCAGACUCCUACGGACGGCCGAAGUGGGGACUAUUGGACAAUGGGCGCAAGCCUGAUCCAGCCAUACCGCGUGGGUGAAGAAGGCCUCGGGUUGUAAAGCCCUUUUGUUGGGAAAGAAAAGCAGCAGGUUAAUACCCCGCUGUUCUGACGGUACCCAAAGAAUAAGCACCGGCUAACUUCGUG
rnacentral:rRNA from 1 species